AUUGAACGCUGGCGGCAGGCUUAACACAUGCAAGUCGAGCGGGGGAAGGUAGCUUGCUACCGGACCUAGCGGCGGACGGGUGAGUAAUGCUUAGGAAUCUGCCUAUUAGUGGGGGACAACAUCUCGAAAGGGAUGCUAAUACCGCAUACGUCCUACGGGAGGAAGCAGGGGAUCUUCGGACCUUGCGCUAAUAGAUGAGCCUAAGUCGGAUUAGCUAGUUGGUGGGGUAAAGGCCUACCAAGGCGACGAUCUGUAGCGGGUCUGAGAGGAUGAUCCGCCACACUGGGACUGAGACACGGCCCAGACUCCUACGGGAGGCAGCAGUGGGGAAUAUUGGACAAUGGGGGAACCCUGAUCCAGCCAUGCCGCGUGUGUGAAGAAGGCCUUAUGGUUGUAAAGCACUUUAAGCGAGGAGGAGGCUACUCUAGUUAAUACCUAGGGAUAGUGGACGUUACUCGCAGAAUAAGCACCGGCUAACUCUGUGCCAGCAGCCGCAGUAA
rnacentral:rRNA from 1 species